rnacentral:rRNA from 12 species
AGUGGCGGCUGCACCUGAGUGCGAAUGCCCGAUAGCGUCCGAUCUCAGAAGCUAAGCAGGGCCAUGCCUGGUUGGUACUUGGAUCAGAAACCAACUUGGAAGACCAGGGGCCACUAGUC